rnacentral:sRNA from 1 species
AUCUCCCGGGCGCGUUCCUCCUCCCAUUGGCGCCCGGUGAGUGUUCCCCUCUGGAGGUUUUGCCUAACGGCACUUCCAACAAACUCAGCCGGGUCUUUCCAGAUCCGGCUUUUUU